rnacentral:rRNA from 1 species
UACGUAGGGUGCAAGCGUUAAUCGGAAUUACUGGGCGUAAAGCGUGCGCAGGCGGUUAUGUAAGACAGUUGUGAAAUCCCCGGGCUCAACCUGGGAACUGCAUCUGUGACUGCAUAGCUAGAGUACGGGUAGAGGGGGAUGGAAUUCCGCGUGUAGCAGUGAAAUGCGUAGAGAUGUGGAGGAACACCGAUGGCGAAGGGCAGCCUUCUGGGCCAACACUGACGCUCAUGCACGAAAGCGUGGGGAGCAAACAGG